UACGAAGGGGGCUAGCGUUGCUCGGAAUGACUGGGCGUAAAGGGCGCGUAGGCGGUUUGUACAGUCAGGUGUGAAAUUCCCGGGCUCAACCUGGGGGCUGCACUUGAUACGUAUGGACUGGAGUGGGGAAGAGGGUCGUGGAAUUCCCAGUGUAGAGGUGAAAUUCGUAGAUAUUGGGAAGAACACCGGUGGCGAAGGCGGCGACCUGGUCCUUGACUGACGCUGAGGCGCGAAAGCCAGGGGAGCAAACGGG
rnacentral:rRNA from 1 species